AGCAGUCGCCGCGGUAAUACGGAGGGCGCGAGCGUUACCCGGAUUUACUGGGCGUAAAGGGCGUGUAGGCGGCCUGGGGCGUCCCAUGUGAAAGGCCACGGCUCAACCGUGGAGGAGCGUGGGAUACGCUCAGGCUAGAGGGUGGGAGAGGGUGGUGGAAUUCCCGGAGUAGCGGUGAAAUGCGCAGAUACCGGGAGGAACGCCGAUGGCGAAGGCAGCCACCUGGUCCACUUCUGACGCUGAGGCGCGAAAGCGUGGGGAGCGAACAGGAUUAGAUACCCCUGUAGUCCCUGUCUCUUAUAC
rnacentral:rRNA from 1 species